AUUGAACGCUGGCGGAAUGCUUUACACAUGCAAGUCGAACGGCAGCACGGGGCAACCUGGUGGCGAGUGGCGAACGGGUGAGUAAUACAUCGGAACGUGCCCAAUCGUGGGGGAUAACGUAGCGAAAGUUACGCUAAUACCGCAUACGAUCUACGGAUGAAAGCGGGGGAUCGCAAGACCUCGCGCGAAUGGAGCGGCCGAUGUCAGAUUAGGUAGUUGGUGGGGUAAAGGCUCACCAAGCCAACGAUCUGUAGCUGGUCUGAGAGGACGACCAGCCACACUGGAACUGAGACACGGUCCAGACUCCUACGGGAGGCAGCAGUGGGGAAUUUUGGACAAUGGGCGCAAGCCUGAUCCAGCAAUGCCGCGUGCAGGAUG
rnacentral:rRNA from 1 species